rnacentral:rRNA from 1 species
UACGUAGGGUGCAAGCGUUGUCCGGAAUUAUUGGGCGUAAAGAGCUCGUAGGCGGCCAACUAAGUCGGAUGUGAAAUCCCCAGGCUCAACCUGGGAACUGCAUCCGAUACUGGAUGGCUUGAAUCCGGGAGAGGGAUGCAGAAUUCCAGGUGUAGCGGUGAAAUGCGUAGAUAUCUGGAGGAAUACCGGUGGCGAAGGCGGCAUCCUGGACCGGCAUUGACGCUGAGGAGCGAAAGCUAGGGGAGCAAACGGG